UACCUGCAGCCCGAGUGGUGCUCGUUAUUAUUGGGUCUAAAUCGUCCGUAGUCGGCUGAGUAGAUGCCUGGGUAAAUCGAAGCGCUUAACGUUUCGAAUUCCAGGUAGACCGCUCGGCUAGGGAUCGGGAGAGGUGCGAGGUACUCCAGGGGUAGGGGUAAAAUCCUGUAAUCCUUGGGGGACCACCGGUGGCGAAGGCGUCGCACUAGAACGAGUCCGACGAUCAGGGACGAAGCCCUGGGGCGCAAACGGG
rnacentral:rRNA from 1 species